UACGUAGGGUGCAAGCGUUAAUCGGAAUUACUGGGCGUAAAGCGUGCGCAGGCGGUUGGGUAAGUCAGAUGUGAAAUCCCCGGGCUCAACCUGGGAACUGCAUUUGUGACUGCACAGCUGGAGUGCGGCAGAGGGGGAUGGAAUUCCGCGUGUAGCAGUGAAAUGCGUAGAUAUGCGGAGGAACACCGAUGGCGAAGGCAAUCCCCUGGGCCUGCACUGACGCUCAUGCACGAAAGCGUGGGGAGCAAACAGG
rnacentral:rRNA from 1 species